UUUUAUUUUAUAAUGCAGAACCUGAGUUUUAUGGUUAAAAUGUUUUAUGAUUUAACAUAUAUAUAUAUAAUAUUUAGCCAAAACCUAUAUACUGUCUCGCCAAAGCCUAAUUAAAGCCUAGUCUAAAGCCUCAAAAAACUGUAAAUAAUGAGUUUUAUCUUUCAGAACACAAUGGGUUAGUUGCCCCCUUCUAACCUGAAAUUGUGUUUCUUUCUCCAGAUAAUUGUGAUUGUUGUGAUUCCUCUAAAUAGUUCCGGGCUCGUAUCCGUGCUUUAAACCAGGCUGGCACGAGUCCUGUUGAUAUAUAACUUCAACUUGCUCCGCUGACUCGCGGAGAAAUUCUACUGAUCUUCAACAUGCAGAUAUCUCCCCUGCGUGUUUGACUCCUGAGAUGGUUCCGUUCUCUUCUAAUCU